GAGAGUAUAGCUCAAGUGGUAGGGCACAUGCUUCGUGUGCAUGAGGUUCAGGGUUCAGUCCUCAGUACCUUCC
rnacentral:tRNA from 1 species